GAUGGUUCAUUCAAAUUUCUGCCCUACCAAUUUCGAUGGUAGAGUAGUGGUCUACAUGGUUUCAACGGGUAACGGGGAAUUAGGGUUCUAUUCCUGGAGAGGGAGCCUGAGAAACGGCUACCACAUCCAAGGAAGGCAGCAGGCGCGCAAAUUACCCAAUCCCGACACGGGGAGGUAGUGACAAUAAAUACUGAUACAGGGCUCUUUUGGGUCUUGUAAUUGGAAUGAGUACAAUUUAAAUCCCUUAACGAGGAACAAUUGGAGGGCAAGUCUGGUGCCAGCAGCCGGGGUAAUUCCAGCUCCAAUAGCGUAUAUUAAAGUUGUUGCAGUUAAAAAGCUCGUAGUUGAACCUUGGGCCUGGCUGGCAGGUCCGACUCACCGGUGCACUGGUCCGGCCGGGCCUUUCCUUCUGGGGAGCCGAAUGCCCUUCACUGGAUGUGUCAGGGGAACCAGGACUUUUACUUUGAAAAAAUUAGAGUGUUCAAAGCAGGCCUAUGCUCGAAUACAUUAGCAUGGAAUAAUAGGA
rnacentral:rRNA from 1 species